rnacentral:rRNA from 1 species
AGAAGGUCUUCGGAUUGUAAACUCCUGUUGUUGAGGAAGUAUAAUGACGGUACUCAACAAGGAAGUGACGGCUAACUACGUGCCAGCAGCCGCGGUAAAACGUAGGUCACAAGCGUUGUCCGGAAUUACUGGGUGUAAAGGGAGCGCAGGCGGGAAGACAAGUUGGAAGUGAAAUCCAUGGGCUCAACCCAUGAACUGCUUUCAAAACUGUUUUUCUUGAGUAGUGCAGAGGUAGGCGGAAUUCCCGGUGUAGCGGUGGAAUGCGUAGAUAUCGGGAGGAACACCAGUGGCGAAGGCGGCCUACUGGGCACCAACUGACGCUGAGGCUCGAAAGUGUGGGUAGCAAACAGGAUUAGAUACCCUGGUAGUCCACACUGUAAACGAUGAUUACUAGGUGUUGGAGGAUUGACCCCUUCAGUGCCGCAGUUAACACAAUAAGUAAUCCACCUGGGGAGUACGACCGCAAGGUUGAAACUC